rnacentral:rRNA from 1 species
CAGUCGUACGCUUCUUUUUCACCGGAGCUUGCUCCACCGGAAAAAGAAGAGUGGCGAACGGGUGAGUAACACGUGGGUAACCUGCCCAUCAGAAGGGGAUAACACUUGGAAACAGGUGCUAAUACCGUAUAACAAUCGAAACCGCAUGGUUUUGAUUUGAAAGGCGCUUUCGGGUGUCGCUGAUGGAUGGACCCGCGGUGCAUUAGCUAGUUGGUGAGGUAACGGCUCACCAAGGCCACGAUGCAUAGCCGACCUGAGAGGGUGAUCGGCCACAUUGGGACUGAGACACGGCCCAAACUCCUACGGGAGGCAGCAGUAGGGAAUCUUCGGCAAUGGACGAAAGUCUGACCGAGCAACGCCGCGUGAGUGAAGAAGGUUUUCGGAUCGUAAAACUCUGUUGUUAGAGAAGAACAAGGAUGAGAGUAACUGUUCAUCCCUUGACGGUAUCUAACCAGAAAGCCACGGCUAACUACGUGCCAGCAGCCGCGGUAAUACGUAGGUGGCAAGCGUUGUCCGGAUUUAUUGGGCGUAAAGCGAGCGCAGGCGGUUUCUUAAGUCUGAUGUGAAAGCCCCCGGCUCAACCGGGGAGGGUCAUUGGAAACUGGGAGACUUGAGUGCAGAAGAGGAGAGUGGAAUUCCAUGUGUAGCGGUGAAAUGCGUAGAUAUAUGGAGGAACACCAGUGGCGAAGGCGGCUCUCUGGUCUGUAACUGACGCUGAGGCUCGAAAGCGUGGGGAGCAAACAGGAUUAGAUACCCUGGUAGUCCACGCCGUAAACGAUGAGUGCUAAGUGUUGGAGGGUUUCCGCCCUUCAGUGCUGCAGCUAACGCAUUAAGCACUCCGCCUGGGGAGUACGACCGCAAGGUUGAAACUCAAAGGAAUUGACGGGGGCCCGCACAAGCGGUGGAGCAUGUGGUUUAAUUCGAAGCAACGCGAAGAACCUUACCAGGUCUUGACAUCCUUUGACCACUCUAGAGAUAGAGCUUCCCCUUCGGGGGCAAAGUGACAGGUGGUGCAUGGUUGUCGUCAGCUCGUGUCGUGAGAUGUUGGGUUAAGUCCCGCAACGAGCGCAACCCUUAUUGUUAGUUGCCAUCAUUUAGUUGGGCACUCUAGCAAGACUGCCGGUGACAAACCGGAGGAAGGUGGGGAUGACGUCAAAUCAUCAUGCCCCUUAUGACCUGGGCUACACACGUGCUACAAUGGGAAGUACAACGAGUCGCGAAGUCGCGAGGCUAAGCUAAUCUCUUAAAGCUUCUCUCAGUUCGGAUUGUAGGCUGCAACUCGCCUACAUGAAGCCGGAAUCGCUAGUAAUCGCGGAUCAGCACGCCGCGGUGAAUACGUUCCCGGGCCUUGUACACACCGCCCGUCACACCACGAGAGUUUGUAACACCCGAAGUCGGUGAGGUAACCUUUGGAGCCAGCC